AAAACCAAUAAUACGACUGGGAGGAGGACCGCUCCACCGCCCUUCACCACUUCGGAGGAGCUGGCUCUCGCCAAUAACGAAGGUCGGCCGAUGAUGGUAGGAGUGGAAGGGGGGGUGUCCUCUGACCCCACUGCCUCGACUUCCAAGGCCUUUGUAAUGAGUAUGUAUUCAUGUAUUGGCAAUGGACAUCAAUAAUUGUCUUGCUAAUCAAAUUGUUGUGAAAUGAUUGAGUGUAAAUUAAUUGUCAUUUUUAGUUGAAGGUACAAACAUUAGUUUGGAGGAGCUGCCGACAAUCAAUCUCCAAUCAGAGGAGACGAUCGCCCUGUGACUCCAGGGCGACUAUGGAGGGGGUUUUUCUGAACAAUUCUCACAGCUAUAGUAUGAAUUUGUAGAAUAAAAGAUGCCUAGGCCUAAUUGUGUCACUGACAUAGCGGUUAUGUGUAUGAGGCUGAAGGUGAAUGCUGCUGCUGGUGGCUGCUGCUGCUGCUGGUGGCUUGAGCUGGUGCCGGAUAACACUGCUGCUGCAGGUCGCUGCUGCAUGAGGCGAUGGCUGCUUGAGCUGGCUGGUGGUAAUAAUAAUAAAUGAAAUUUAUAUAGCGCUUAAUAUGGUACUCUAAGACGCUUGACGUGCCACACUAAGCGCCACGCGAUUGUUGUCCUUCCUUUCGACCCGAUGCACUUUACUAUCCUUAACCUCAGCCUGAUGUUUGUGGAGUAUUUUAUUUUUUUCAUUAAUAACUUAUAAUAUUCCUCCCUGUUCCUUCACUUUGUUCUUGUUUAACAAGUUAGAUAUACACGCACACCUGUUUACACAUUUGUUGUUCUUGUUCCACACAUGACUAACAUUGUUUUAUUUAUUGAUACCCCCUGGCUCUACUUUGCUGUUCUUGUUCAUUACUGUAUGUUUGCUUUGUUGUUCUUAGUCCUUGUUCCCACUUGUUUUUGGUUCCACAAGCCUCAGCCUGAUAUAUCUGGCAUCUCAAACACUGGGUCCAGCUUUACCAUCGCCUAUUCCUUUGCAGCGUGCAGAUGUUAGGCAGUGGAAUCUGCAUUUGCUGCAGGGUUUCAUAACCAGUGGUCCAUUUUACUUGUCUGACCCAUUGUUUAAUAAAAAAAUUCUUUCAUUUGUUAUUCUUA